GGUGUAUAAAAAUUUUAUAAAGUUUCUAACUUUUAAAAAGCAUAUAAAUAUGUUAUAUACCU
rnacentral:tRNA from 1 species